GGGAAUAUUGCGCAAUGGGGGGAACCCUGACGCAGCAACGCCGCGUGAGUGAAGAAGGCCUUCGGGUUGUAAAGCUCUUUAAUCAGGGACGAAGAAUGACGGUACCUGAAGAAUAAGCUCCGGCUAACUACGUGCCAGCAGCCGCGGUAAUACGUAGGUGGCGAGCGUUAUCCGGAAUGAUUGGGCGUAAAGGGUGCGCAGGCGGUCCUGCAAGUCUGGAGUGAAACGCAUGAGCUCAACUCAUGCAUGGCUUUGGAAACUGGAGGACUGGAGAGCAGGAGAGGGCGGUGGAACUCCAUGUGUAGCGGUAAAAUGCGUAGAUAUAUGGAAGAACACCAGUGGCGAAGGCGGCCGCCUGGCCUGUUGCUGACGCUGAGGCACGAAAGCGUGGGGAGCAAAUAGG
rnacentral:rRNA from 1 species